GAUAUGUCUCGGGGAGUCGCAAACAGGCUUUGAUCCGGGAGAUUCCGAAUGGGGCAACCCAUCGCAGGUUAUACUGCGAUAUUUUUUGCCUGAAAUUCAAAAUAGGGCAAAAAAAGUGAAACCAGGAGAAUUGAAACAUCUAAGUAUCCUGAGGAAAAGAAAUCACAGAGAUUCCCCUAGUAGCGGCGAGCGAAAAGGGAAGAGCCUAAACCAUUUUUCCGCAAGGAAAAAUGGGGUUGCGGGACCUCGAUGUGGCAGAUGGAUGGAUAGCAGAAAUGCAUGGGAAGGCAUACCAAAGAGAGUGAAAGUCUCGUAUGCGAAAUUCUGAAGUCGCCUAGGGGUAUCCCAAGUACUACGGGGCACGUGGAAUCCUGUAGGAAUCCGGGCCGACCACGGUCUAAGGCUAAAAACUACACCUAAACCGAUAGUGCACAAGUACCGUGAGGGAAAGUUGAAAAGAACGCUGGUGAAGCGAGUGAAAUAGAACCUAAAAUCAUAAACCUACAAGCGGUGGGAGGGCUAUAUCCCCGCCUUUGGCGGGGAAAUGCCUGACCGCGUACCUUUUGCAUAAUGGACCGACGAGUUACUGUGCGGUGCGAGCUUAAUCUGCCAAAGACCUUGGCAGGGGAGGCGUAGCGAAAGCGAGUCCUAACUGGGCGUUUUAGUACUGUAUAGUAGACCCGAAGCUGAGUGAUCUACCCAUGGCCAGAGUGAAGUCCUCCGAAAGGAGGAUGGAGGCUUGAACCCGUUAGCGUUGAAAAGCUAUGGGAUGAGCUGUGGGUCGGAGCGAAAGACUAAACAAACUCAGAAAUAGCUGGUUCUCCCCGAAAUAUUUCUAGGGAUAGCCUCGGGGAAAUUAAAUAGUAGGGGUAGAGUGCUGAAUGGGUUACAGGGCCUUACUAGGUCGCUGAACCCAACCAAACUUCGAAUACUACUAUUUUUAUCCCGGGAGUAAGACGCUGGGGGCUAAGCUCCGGCGUCAAAAGGGUAUCAGCCCAGACCAUCAGCUAAGGUCCCUAAGAAUAGGCUAAGUGGUAAAGGAUGUGAUCUCGCAUUGACAACCAGGAUGUUGGCUUAGAGGCAGCCAUCAUUUAAAGAGUGCGUAACAGCUCACUGGUCGAGCGACCUCGCGCCUAAGAUAAUCGGGGCUUAAGCCUAUUACCGAAGCUAUGGGUUUCUGCUACUUCGGUAGCAGGAGCGGUAGGGGAGCAUACUCUGACGAGUGAAGGCGUACCGUGAGGAGCGCUGGACGUCAGAGUAGAGAUUAUGUCGGUAUGAGUAGCGAAAACACCUGCGAGAAACAGGUGCACCGAAAGUCUAAGGUUUCCUGGGGAAGGUUAAUCCGCCCAGGGUUAGUCGAGCCUAAGCCGAGGCCAAAGGGCGUAGGCGAUGGAUAAUCCGUUAAUAUUCGGAUACCAGUCAGGUGGCGUUUCCCGCGCAAGCGGGAUCCCGCCUGCUAUGAAAAUAGCGUGGCGGGAAAAACUUUUUGUAUGACGUGGCGUGUUUAGGCCGGCGCAGUGUUGGAUGUCUGCGUUCUUUCCUGAGUAAUUAGGAGAGGGGAUCCCGUGCAAAUCGCACGGGAGAAUUGUUCUAAAAUGUGCUGCCAAGAAAAGUACAAAAAGGAGUUGCCUGACUGUUCGUACCGGAAUCCGACACAGGUAGACCUCCAAAAUAUGGUAAGGUGCUCGAGAUAACCCUCGUUAAGGAACUCGGCAAAUUAGCCUCGUAAGUUAGCAAUAAGAGGUGCCCUUCAUUGAAAGAUGACAGGGCCUCAGUAAAGUGGAUCGGGUGACUGUUUAGCAAAAACACAGCACUCUGCAAACUCGAAAGAGGAAGUAUAGGGUGUGAUACCUGCCCGGUGCUGGAAGGUUAAGGAGAGGAGUCAGCUUUUCGUAAGAUUAGCGAAGCCCCGAACCGAAGCCCCAGUAAACGGCGGCUGUAACUAUAACAGUCCUAAGGUAGCGAAAUUCCUUGUGGGGUAAGUUCCCACGCGCACGAAUGGUUUAACAACCUGAUCGCUGUCUCAACGAGGGACUCGGCGAAAUUGUAGUGGCGGUGAAGAUGCCGUCUACCCGCAUCAAGACGAAAAGACCCCAGAACCUUUACUAUACCCUGCCAUUGGAUCUUGGUCCAAUAUGUGUAGCAUAGGUGGGAGGCUUUGAAGCCUAGGCGCUAGCUUAGGCAGAGCCACAAUGUGAAAUACCACCCUUGUUGUAUUAAGAUUCUAACUUAUUGCCGUGAAUCCGGCGUAAGGACAGUGACAGGCGGGUAGUUUGACUGGGGCGGUUCCCUUCUAAAAGGUAACGAAGGGGCCCAAAGGUUGGCUCAGGGCGUUCGGCAAUCGCCCGUGGAGUGUAAGCGCAUAAGCCAGCUUGACUGCGAGUUCGACAGAACGAGCAGAUACGAAAGUAGGGGCUAGUGAUCCGGUGGUUGAACGUGGAAUCGCCAUCGCUCAACGGAUAAUAGGUACUCUGGGGAUAACAGGCUUAUCGGGCUCGAGAGUUCAUAUCGACAGCCCGGUUUGGCACCUCAAAUUUGGGGUGUUCCGGCGGUAACGUCGGAAAUGUAUUGGCUAAUAACGGUGAAACCCAAUAGAAGGAGGGUAAUACCGUGGGAAGUCCAUCAAAAUCUAAAAUUCAAAAUUUUGAAUAAUGAUUUGAUCUGACCCCGUAACGACUGAUCCCCGACAAAGCGUCGGGGAGAGAUAGCAUAUAUAUAUUUAAUGCUAUAAUACGCCAACUCCUCGAAAGAGGAUGAAGAUAUAGUCUAAUCCCAUGCGAAAGUGUGGAUAAGAUUGCGAUGUCGGCUCAUCCUAUCCUGGGGCUGUAUAAGGUCCCAAGGGUCCGGCUGUUCGCCGGUUAAAAGGGUACGCGAGCUGGGUUCAGAACGUAGAUAACACUGCGUUGUCCUACAGCAAUGUAGGAUUAGCACCGACUUA
rnacentral:rRNA from 1 species